AGGAGGCACAACCCCAGUGGCAGCGGCCAGCCGUGGAACCCUGGAUUCAGCUACCACAGUAGCUAUGGAGCUCUCAGUCUGCAGAGUCGUGGAUGCUCCGGGGGCGG
rnacentral:pre_miRNA from 1 species